UCGAGAAUUUUUCUCAAUGGGGGCAACCCUGAAGGAGCGACGCCGCGUGGAGGAUGAAGGCUUUCGGGUUGUAAACUCCUGUCAUUUGAGAACAAGUUGGGCGCAGUAACUACGCGUCCAUUGAUAGUAUCAGAAGAGGAAGGGACGGCUAACUCUGUGCCAGCAGCCGCGGUAAUACAGAGGUCCCAAGCGUUGUUCGGAUUCAUUGGGCGUAAAGGGUGCGUAGGUGGCGCUGUAAGUCGGGUGUGAAAUUUCGGAGCUUAACUCCGAAACUGCAUUCGAUACUGCGGUGCUUGAGGACUGGAGAGGAGACUGGAAUUCAUGGUGUAGCAGUGAAAUGCGUAGAGAUCAUGAGGAAGACCAGUGGCGAAGGCGGGUCUCUGGACAGUUCCUGACACUGAGGCACGAAGGCCAGGGGAGCAAACGGGAUUAGAUACCCCCGUAGUCC
rnacentral:rRNA from 1 species